UGAUGAAGAACACAGUGAAAUGUGAUAAGUAAUGUGAAUCGCAGAAUUCAGUGAAUCAUCGAAUCUUUGAACGCACCUUGCACCUUUUGGUAUUCCAAAAGGUACACCUGUUUGAGUGUCAUGAAACCCUCUCCCCAUUUAACUUUUUCAUUAAAGUUUCUUGGUGGAUGUUGAGUGUUGCUGUGAUUAAUUUUUACAGCUCGCUUUAAAUACAUAAGCUCAUCUUAUAUAUCAUUUGAUUUGGAUUGACUUGAUGUGAUAUAUAUAUUUUCAUCAAGGAUUGUAGAAAUACACCCAGUCAUUUUCUGAUAAAGAGGGCUCCUAAACCCCAUUUCUAUGUGGUCACCCAUGUGGAAUAUUAUUUUUUUAAGACCUCAAAUCAGGUGGGAUUACCCGCUGAACUUAAGCAUAUCAAUAAGCGGAGGAAAAGAAACUAACAAGGAUUCCCC
rnacentral:rRNA from 1 species